rnacentral:lncRNA from 1 species
GGGGCCGCCCCAACCCGGUCGGCUGCCUGAGGCGGCCGCGAGCGCGGGAGCUGGAGCGCUGUCAGCCGCGCUGAGCCUGCGCCUGGCGACCGCGAUGCAGGAGGCCCGGGACUGAGGGAGGACGGCGAGAGCGGAGGCCCGCGACCCGCACCGCCGGGGCAGGCACCCGGGUCUCGGGGGCAGCAACGCCGGGGCCCUUGCAGAACGGGGACUGUUUGGGGAAGUGGCUCCCGCACAGUGCCCGGAGAGGGGCCCUCCCUCUGUGCCCCCUUGGGAAACACUGCUUGGUACAAUUCCAAUACCCAGCUGUACCCUGCCCUGAAGAUAGAAGACAAAACCCUGGCUCUGUCACUCACGCGAGGCAUAACCAACCAUUCUUUUAAUAAAUUAAUUUUCUAC